rnacentral:rRNA from 1 species
GACGAACGCUGGCGGCGUGCUUAACACAUGCAAGUCGAACGCUGAAGCUUGGUGCUUGCACUGGGUGGGUGAGUGGCGCACGGGUGAGUAAUACGUGAGUAACCUGCCCUUGACUCUGGGAUAAGCCUGGGAAACUGGGUCUAAUACUGGAUACGACAUGUCACCGCAUGGUGGUGUGUGGAGAGGGUUUUGCUGGUUUUGGAUGGGCUCACGGCCUAUCAGCUUGUUGGUGGGGUAAUGGCUCACCAAGGCGACGACGGGUAGCCGGCCUGAGAGGGUGACCGGCCACACUGGGACUGAGAUACGGCCCAGACUCCUACGGGAGGCAGCAGUGGGGAAUAUUGCACAAUGGGCGGAAGCCUGAUGCAGCGACGCCGCGUGAGGGAUGACGGCCUUCGGGUUGUAAACCUCUUUCAGCACGGAAGAAGCGAAAGUGACGGUACGUGCAGAAGAAGCGCCGGCUAACUACGUG